ACCUUGGAGACUUUGACUUCAACAUAAUGACUCUUACCUUAUAAUCGCCGUGUCGCCCUGGCGGAUGGUGAUGUUGUCGGUGGCCCGCUGCAUAUCUACACUCCGGACGGGGAAUCCUGUGGGGAUAAGACAGAGCAGUCUGAAAAAAGAAGCCUGCAGCUGCCUCCAACACGAUUUGUGCCCCACAUGCAUCUUAAAAGCGCGUCUCGGGAGCAAUAGAUCCAAAUGUGCAAAAAAAAAAAAGGCCAAAAAAGAAAAAUAAAAAAAAAAAAAAAAAAAAAAAAAAAAAAA